rnacentral:lncRNA from 1 species
UGGUGGAGGUGGUGAGGCAUAAAUUGAGCCCAAGUUUGGAGGAAGGACAACAUCCUCGAAUACAGGUGGAGGGGGAGAUGCCAAAGGAGCAGGAGGUGGUGAUUGAACAGGUUUGGGUGGAGGAGGAGAAAAGACGGGAGGAGGAGGAGGUGAUGAGACUGGUGGUGGUGGGGAAUGAACUGGAGGUGGCAUUGGUUUUGGACUUGGCACUGGAGGUGGAGGUGAUGAUAUUGGUGGUGGUGGGGAAUGGACUGGAGGUGGAGGUGAUGAAGUCGGUGGUGGUGGGGAGUGGACUGGAGGUGGAGGUGAUGAUACUGGUGGUGGUGGGGAAUGAACUGGAGGUGGGGGUGAUGAAGCUGGUGGUGGUGGGGAAUGGACGGGAGGGGGCAUUGGUUUUGGACUUGGAACCGGAGGUGGAGGUGAUGACACUGGUGGUGGUGGAGAGUGAACUGGAG